CCUACGGGUGGCAGCAGUGAGGAAUAUUGGUCAAUGGGCGCGAGCCUGAACCAGCCAAGUAGCGUGAAGGAUGACUGCCCUACGGGUUGUAAACUUCGUUUAUCAAGGAAUAAAGUGAGGCACGUGGGCCGUAGUGUAUGAACUUUAUGAAUAAGGGUCGGAUAACUCAGAUCCAGCAGCCGCGGUAAUACGGAGGAUCAGAGCGGGAUCCGUAUUUAUUGGGUUUAAAGGGAGCGUAGAGGGGUUGGUAAGUCAGUGGUGAAGGUUUGCGGACCAACCGUAGAAUUGCAAUUGAAACUGGCAGUCUUGAGGACAGUUGAGGUAGGCGGAAUUCGUGGGGUAGCGGUGAAAUGCUUAGAUAUCAGGAGGAACUCCGGUUGCGAAGGCGGUUCACUGGACUGCAACUGACACUGAGGCUCGAAAGUGUGGGUAUCAAACAGGAUUAGAUACCCGAGUAGUC
rnacentral:rRNA from 1 species